AUACGAAGGGUGCAAGCGUUACUCGGAAUUACUGGGCGUAAAGCGUGCGUAGGCGGUUUGUUAAGUCUGCUGUGAAAGCCCUGGGCUCAACCUGGGAACUGCAGUGGAUACUGGCGAGCUAGAGUGUGUCAGAGGAUGGUGGAAUUCCCGGUGUAGCGGUGAAAUGCGUAGAGAUCGGGAGGAACACCAGUGGCGAAGGCGGCCAUCUGGGACAACACUGACGCUGAGGCACGAAAGCGUGGGGAGC
rnacentral:rRNA from 1 species